rnacentral:tRNA from 1 species
UGCCUAGUAGCCAAGUGGUAAGGCAUCAGAUUCUGACUCUGACAUUUCGUGGGUUCGAGUCCUACCUAGGCAG